AGUUUUCUUCAGGAGAGAAUGGAACCGUAACUGGCCUUUCCUUGUCGGCUUUGCCAUCACUGGCACUCUUAUCACCAAAUUUUCUCUCAGCCUGACCGAGGAGGAUGCGAAGAAUUCUCCAUUUGUGCAGAGGCACAAAAGGCACUGAUGCUUAACAAAUCCAGUUCAAGAUGAGCAGGCUUCUGGUGAAUUUGCUCCCCAGGUGCCAGAUCAAUGCUCAAUCUGGAGACAUUUAGCUUUGUUUGAGUUCAUUCUUUUUUUUUUUUUUUUGAAGAAUUUUUGUUUCAGUCACUUUAUGGUAUGGUUAAAUAGACUGAUUACUUCUGGAAAAUUGGGCUGUGUCUAGUUGAAACGAUUCAUUGCAUGCUACUGCUGUUAGCCCCUGCAAUGUAACAUGCAAGUGUGAAAAUAAAUGCACUUUUUGAAAAUAAAACCGUUUUUAGUUUCCAA